rnacentral:misc_RNA from 1 species
GCUCCGUUGGCGAACCAGCGGAGGGAUCAUUACCGAGUUUACAACUCCCAAACCCAAUGUGAACCAUACCAAACUGUUGCCUCGGCGGGGUCACGCCCCGGGUGCGUCGCAGCCCCGGAACCAGGCGCCCGCCGGAGGGACCAACCAAACUCUUUCUGUAGUCCCCUCGCGGACGUUAUUUUUACAGCUCUGAGCAAAAAUUCAAAAUGAAUCAAAACUUUCAACAACGGAUCUCUUGGUUCUG